AACGAACGCUGGCGGCAGGCCUAAAACAUGCAAGUCGAACGCCCUAGCAAUUGGGAGUGGCGCACGGGUGAGUAACGCGUGGGAACGUGCCCUUCAGUACGGAACAACGUCGGGAAACUGACGCUAAUACCGUAUAAUAUCUCCGGAUCAAAGAUUUAUCGCUGAAGGAUCGGCCCGCGUCUGAUUAGCUAGUUGGUGAGGUAAUGGCUCACCAAGGCUACGAUCAGUAGCUGGUCUGAGAGGAUGAUCAGCCACACUGGGACUGAGACACGGCCCAGACUCCGACGGGAGGCAGCAGUUAGGAAUAUUGGACAAUGGGCGAAAGCCUGAUCCAGCCAUGCCGCGUGUGUGAUGAAGGCCUUAGGGUUGUAAAGCACUUUCGUUGGGGAUGAUAAUGACCGUACCCAAAGAAGAAGCCACGGCUAAAUUCGUGCCAGCCGCCGCCGUAA
rnacentral:rRNA from 1 species